rnacentral:lncRNA from 1 species
GCAUUGAGGCCAAGACAAUCAGUUGAGGCUCAAACUGAGCAUCAAAACGGGGAAGAAAGGUGAUUGAAGUGACUUUGAUGGAUGUUGGUCUGAGGAUUUCAGGAACUGUUGAGCUACUGGGAUUUUCACCCACAGCCUUCUCUAUAGGUUGACGGAGAACGGUCCAAAAAAACCCAGAAAAUAUCCAGUGAGUUGCAGUUCUGUGGCCAGAAAUGUUGUUGAUGCCAGAGAAUUUGGCAUCAACACCAUAAAAAGCAGAGAACCAUCCUGUCAACGGUUAAGGCUGGUGGAGGCGGCGUAAUGGCGUAGGGGAUGUUUUCCACACUUUGGACCCCUUAGUCCCAAUUGAUCACGGUUCCAACACCACAGUCUACCUGAAUAUUAUUACUGACCACGUCCAUCUCUUUAUGACUACAGUGUACCAUCUUCUGAUGCUACUUCCAGCAGGAUAAGGCGCCAUGUCAUAACGCUGGAAUCAUCUUUCUUCAACAUGACAAAAGUUCACUAGACUCAAAUGACCUUCAAAGUCACCAGAUCUGAACCCAAUAGAUCACCUUUGGGAUGUACAGGAGAUCGCCGUCAUGGAUGCCAAUCAAACGACAAAUCUGCAGCAACUCUGUGAAGCUUUUGUCUUGGUGCCUCCCCUGGUCUCUCUUGGACCCAGCUGUUGGACAUCAGGGCCCGCUCCAGUAUUCAUCGCCAGUUCGUUACCUCACUGGGUCAAUCGUCCAAUCGCCAACCUGGGUCCGUCAUACCACACCACACUCACAGCCUGCCUCACCGCCUAGAUCAUCGCACCAUCGCUCCUAAUCUACUCGUCACCCACUCCGUUCCUGUCCCGGCAUCAGCCCAAUACCCACGGACAAUAAACUUUCGCUCUUCAGUUUCCCCUGUAUUCCUUUCGGGUUCCAGCACCUGGGUCUGCCUCGCUCCGUGACCAUGACAGCUUUCAUGUCAACGUGGACCAAACACUCGGAGGAAUGUUUCUGUGACAGGGUGAAGUUUUUAUUUUGAGUUUUUUAAAUGCAGAGGGUCCCUGAAGGCAUCACCUUAAGGGAAAUUAGGCACGGGUGUGCCUAAUCAGGGACCCUUUUUAAGUAACUUCCAGAAGAGGAGGGAGAAGAACAGAGAGAGGAAAGAGACCAGGGCCCUGAAGUGGUGGGGAGUGGGGAAGCCACCCCCACCGGCCUGGGAGAUGGGUGCAGUACGGCGCGCGGCGGAAGAGCCUGCGCCGGGGUCGAUGCCCGAGGGAGCGCGGCGGGAGAGCCAGCACCGGGGUCGAUGCCCGAGGGAGCGCGGC